UCCCUCGAGCCGGAUUUGAACCAGCGACCUAAGGAUCACCGUUGUAACAUCUACAGUCCUCCGCUCUGCCAGCGGAGCUAUCGAGAG
rnacentral:tRNA from 1 species